rnacentral:rRNA from 1 species
UCACGGAUCCAGAGGUUUGAWCCUGGCUCAGAGCGAACGCUGGCGGCAGGCUUAACACAUGCAAGUCGAGCGGGCGUAGCAAUACGUCAGCGGCAGACGGGUGAGUAACGCGUGGGAACGUACCUUUUGGUUCGGAACAACACAGGGAAACUUGUGCUAAUACCGGAUAAGCCUUACGGGGAAAGAUUUAUCGCCGAAAGAUCGGCCCGCGUCUGAUUAGCUAGUUGGUGAGGUAAUGGCUCACCAAGGCGACGAUCAGUAGCUGGUCUGAGAGGAUGAUCAGCCACAUUGGGACUGAGACACGGCCCAAACUCUACGGGAGGCAGCAGUGGGGAAUA